rnacentral:rRNA from 1 species
UACAGAGGUCCCAAGCGUUGUUCGGAUUCAUUGGGCGUAAAGGGUGCGUAGGUGGCGCCGUAAGUCAGGUGUGAAAUCUCGGGGCUUAACUCCGAAACUGCAUUUGAUACUGCGGUGCUUGAGGACUGGAGAGGAGACUGGAAUUUACGGUGUAGCAGUGAAAUGCGUAGAUAUCGAGAGGAAUACCAACGGCGAAGGCAGGUCACUGGGCAGUUACUGACACUGAGGCACGAAGGCCAGGGGAGCAAACGGG